rnacentral:rRNA from 1 species
GACGAACGCUGGCGGCGUGCUUAACACAUGCAAGUCGAACGGUGAAGCUCCAGCUUGCUGGAGUGGAUCAGUGGCGAACGGGUGAGUAACACGUGAGCAACCUGCCCCUGACUCUGGAAUAAGCGCUGGAAACGACGUCUAAUACUGGAUACGAGAAGGGUCCGCAUGGGCACUUUCUGGAAAGUUUUUCGGUUGGGGAUGGGCUCGCGGCCUCUCAGCUUGUUGGUGAGGUAAUGGCUCACCAAGGCGACGACGGGUAGCCGGCCUGAGAGGGCGACCGGCCACACUGGGACUGAGACACGGCCCAGACUCCUACGGGAGGCAGCAGUGGGGAAUAUUGCACAAUGGGCGAAAGCCUGAUGCAGCGACGCCGCGUGAGUGAUGACGGCCUUCGGGUUGUGAACCUCUUUCAGCAGGGAAGAAGCGAAUGUGACGGUACCUGCAGAAGAAGCGCCGGCUAACUACGUG